CCGAGACAGGAAAGGACACCAUUGGCCGCGGUAGGCAAAGCUGCUGAAUGGCGACUGUGGUCAUUCCGUCCUGGGCAAUAGAGUUCCCUCCUCAGAUUCAGGCCUGAACUGCUCCCCUGUGGUCAUGGAGCCUGCCCUAGGUGCCACCUGGACCUGUGCCAGGCAGACAGCAGAGGAUGCAUGAUGUGCAUCUUCUUCCUGCCCGGAGUGAAGAGCAUGAUGACAAAUGAGAAACAAUCAUUUCACACAUCCUGGUAAAAUAAAUAUUCUUUGUCGGAACAGCAGAAGAAGAGAAUUGUAUGAGAUCAGUCAGCAUCUGAAGGGAAAACAAGGGCAAGAUUAACCCAGAAGGAAUCUAAGAAGGAAGACAGGAGAAGGACAGAGCUUUAUCUUGAAACCAAUGGAGAAGAGCAUUUCAAAAUAGAAUGAUGAAGAAAGGGGUUCUGCCUGUUCCAAAGGAGUGACUCUCAAAGGAGCAGGAACUGACCAUAGGUUAUGGCUUGUGUUACGACACACUGAUGAUGUCUUUGAGGCCAUCCACUGACGUCCUCAACCAUGGCAUAAGCAAGUUUUUCUGAAGGUAUUAUUGGAUGUUUACAAUGUUUGCAUAGUCUAAAAUUUAGAACUAUUUUUAACUAGAUUUAUUCCUUAGAAAAGUUUUAGAUUCACAGCAAAAUUGAUCGGAAAGUGUAGAGAGUUCCCACAUCUUCUGCCCGUACACAAGCACAGACUCCCUAACUAGCAACAUCCUGUACCAGAGUGGUACAUUUGUUACAAUCAAUUAACCUAAACUGAGAAAUCAUUAUCAUCCAAAGACCAUAGUUUAAACUAGGGUUCACUCUUGGUGUUGGUAUAUUCUGUUUUUAAAUAUAGUAAUAAUACUUAUAGAAAAUUUUCCACUUAGGCAUUUAUACUAUACAGUUCAGUAGUGUUAAGUAUAUUCAUAUUGUGGUGAAACAGAUCUCCAGGGUUUUUUCAUCGUGCAGAACUGAAACUCUAUACCCUUUAAAUCACAACUCCAUUUUUCCUCUUCUCCCCAGCCCCUUGAUAACCACCAUUCUACUUGCUUUUUCUAUGAAUUUGACAACUCUAGGUAC